GAUGAACGCUAGCGGCAGGCCUAAUACAUGCAAGUCGAGGGGCAGCACGAUCUUCGGAUUGGUGGCGACCGGCGCACGGGUGCGUAACGCGUAUGCAACCUACCUUAUACUGAGGGAUAGCCCGGAGAAAUUCGGAUUAAUACCUCAUGGUAUGACGAGAAGGCAUCUUCUUGUUCUUAAAGAUUUAUCGGUAUAAGAUGGGCAUGCGUGACAUUAGUUAGUUGGUGAGGUAACGGCUCACCAAGGCUACGAUGUCUAGGGGUUCUGAGAGGAUGAUCCCCCACACUGGCACUGAGAUACGGGCCAG
rnacentral:rRNA from 1 species